AUGGUGGACGAGCCGGAGACCGACGCCUUGGUGGCGUGGGGGCCGGCCAGCAACAGCUUCGUCGUCGCCGACCCCUUCGCCUUCUCAGAGAUGCUGCUCCCGGCCCACUUCAAGCACUCCAACUUCUCCAGCUUCGUCCGGCAGCUCAACACCUACGGCUUCCGCAAGGUCGACCCGGACCGGUGGGAGUUUGCCCACGCCUCCUUCCUCCGCGGCCAGACACACCUCUUGCCCCGCAUCGUCCGGCGCCGGAGCACUACCCGUCCUUCCAAGGACGACAACGAGGGGGAGGAUGAGGACACCAGCAGCACCAUGCUAGCCAUGGAGGUGGUCCGGCUGAAGCAGGAGCAGAGAGCCACCGAGGACCGCUUGGCGACGAUGUGGCGCCGGGUGCAGGACGCCGAGCGCCAGCCCAAGCUGAUGCUCGCCUUCCUCGUCAAGGUCGUCCGAGACCCAGACGUGCUGCGCCACCUCGUAGGCAACUCGAGUACCGACGCCGGAUUAUUCCCCGGCGAGGGCGCGGAGACCAAGAAGCCGCGGCUGCUCCUAAACGGGGAAGUCCAGAUGCAGGACGCCUUCGUGGGGGAACCCGCGGUCGACUUCACUGGGUUCUACACCGGAGGCGACGGGUUCAGCGACGUGCCGGUGGACGACGACCUGCCGUACGCUUUCCCCGUGAACGACGGCGGCUACUGA
rnacentral:rRNA from 1 species